GAAUGCUGACAUAAGUAACGAUAAAGCGGGUGAAAAGCCCGCUCGCCGGAAGACCAAGGGUUCCUGUCCAACGUUAAUCGGGGCAGGGUGAGUCGACCCCUAAGGCGAGGCCGAAAGGCGUAGUCGAUGGGAAACGGGUUAAUAUUCCCGUACUUGGUGUUACUGCGAAGGGGGGACGGAGAAGGCUAUGUUGGCCGGGCGACGGUUGUCCCGGUUUAAGCGUGUAGGUGUGUGUUCCAGGUAAAUCCGGUUCACUUUAACACUGAGGCGUGACGACGAGGCACUACGGUGCUGAAGCAACAAAUGCCCUGCUUCCAGGAAAAGCCUCUAAGCAUCAGGUAACAUCAAAUCGUACCCCAAACCGACACAGGUGGUCAGGUAGAGAAUACCAAGGCGCUUGAGAGAACUCGGGUGAAGGAACUAGGCAAAAUGGUGCCGUAACUUCGGGAGAAGGCACGCUGACACGUAGGUGAAGUGAUUUACUCAUGGAGCUGAAGUCAGUCGAAGAUACCAGCUGGCUGCAACUGUUUAUUAAAAACACAGCACUGUGCAAACACGAAAGUGGACGUAUACGGUGUGACGCCUGCCCGGUGCCGGAAGGUUAAUUGAUGGGGUCAGCGCAAGCGAAGCUCCUGAUCGAAGCCCCGGUAAACGGCGGCCGUAACUAUAACGGUCCUAAGGUAGCGAAAUUCCUUGUCGGGUAAGUUCCGACCUGCACGAAUGGCGUAAUGAUGGCCAGGCUGUCUCCACCCGAGACUCAGUGAAAUUGAACUCGCUGUGAAGAUGCAGUGUACCCGCGGCAAGACGGAAAGACCCCGUGAACCUUUACUAUAGCUUGACACUGAACAUUGAGCCUUGAUGUGUAGGAUAGGUGGGAGGCUUUGAAGUGUGGACGCCAGUCUGCAUGGAGCCGACCUUGAAAUACCACCCUUUAAUGUUUGAUGUUCUAACGUGGACCCGUGAUCCGGGUUGCGGACAGUGUCUGGUGGGUAGUUUGACUGGGGCGGUCUCCUCCUAAAGAGUAACGGAGGAGCACGAAGGUUGGCUAAUCCUGGUCGGACAUCAGGAGGUUAGUGCAAUGGCAUAAGCCAGCUUGACUGCGAGCGUGACGGCGCGAGCAGGUGCGAAAGCAGGUCAUAGUGAUCCGGUGGUUCUGAAUGGAAGGGCCAUCGCUCAACGGAUAAAAGGUACUCCGGGGAUAACAGGCUGAUACCGCCCAAGAGUUCAUAUCGACGGCGGUGUUUGGCACCUCGAUGUCGGCUCAUCACAUCCUGGGGCUGAAGUAGGUCCCAAGGGUAUGGCUGUUCGCCAUUUAAAGUGGUACGCGAGCUGGGUUUAGAACGUCGUGAGACAGUUCGGUCCCUAUCUGCCGUGGGCGCUGGAGAACUGAGGGGGGCUGCUCCUAGUACGAGAGGACCGGAGUGGACGCAUCACUGGUGUUCGGGUUGUCAUGCCAAUGGCACUGCCCGGUAGCUAAAUGCGGAAGAGAUAAGUGCUGAAAGCAUCUAAGCACGAAACUUGCCCCGAGAUGAGUUCUCCCUGAGACUUAGAGUCUCCUGAAGGAACGUUGAAGACGACGACGUUGAUAGGCCGGGUGUGUAAGCGCAGCGAUGCGUUGAGCUAACCGGUACUAAUGAACCGUGAGGCUUAACCUU
rnacentral:rRNA from 1 species